rnacentral:rRNA from 1 species
UACGUAGGCAGCAAGCGUUGUUCGGAAUUACUGGGCGUAAAGAGUGUGUAGGCGGUGCUCUAAGUUCGUUGUGAAAUCUCCCGGCUUAACUGGGAGGGUGCGGCGGAAACUGGAGUGCUUGAGCGCGGGAGAGGAAAGCGGAAUUCCUGGUGUAGCGGUGAAAUGCGUAGAUAUCAGGAGGAACACCUGUGGUGUAGACGGCUUUCUGGACCAUAGCUGACGCUGAGACACGAAAGCGUGGGUAGCAAACAGG